rnacentral:rRNA from 1 species
UAUUGUUUUAGUGGCGGACGGGUGAGUAACGCGUGGGCAACCUACCUAUAACAGGGGGAUAACACUGGGAAACUAGUGCUAAUACCGCAUAAGAUCAUAAGAUAGCAUUAUCAAGUGAUCAAAGGAGAAAUCCGGUGAUAGAUGGGCCCGCGUCCGAUUAGCUAGUUGGUGAUGUAACGGACCACCAAGGCGACGAUCGGUAGCCGAACUGAGAGGUUGAUCGGCCACAUUGGGACUGAGACACGGCCCAGACUCCUACGGGAGGCAGCAGUGGGGAAUAUUGCGCAAUGGGGGAAACCCUGACGCAGCAACGCCGCGUGAAGGAAGAAGGCUUUCGGGUUGUAAACUUCUUUGAUGAGGGAAGAAAACAAUGACGGUACCUCAAAAACAAGCCACGGCUAACUACGUGCCAGCAGCCGCGGUAAUACGUAGGUGGCGAGCGUUGUCCGGAAUUACUGGGUGUGAAGGGCGUGUAGACGGGAGUGCAAGUCAGAUGUGAAAUACCAAGGCCUAACCAUGGGACUGCAUCUGAAACUGUGUUU